GUUAAAACCUAAAUGAGCAACAAACGAGGUGACGUGCGUUAUCAGUUUUGUCUUCCAUGUCUUCCUCAUCCUGCUGUUUGCUCCACGGCUCUUGACAGGAUGGAGACGAGGAAAGAACUUCCACAUCCACAUUCAAAACGUCUGCCAGAACUCCCUCAGGCAAGAUUUUUAUGUGUAUGGUCAUUUCAAGUGAAUUUUGUAUACAGAGCAAGGCGAUUACUUUAAAACAUGAAAGAAAUUGCACCUUUUCCUUAAGGGCAAGAUGGUGCUGUGGGCUUUCCUCUCUCCUGAUGAGAUGAUGCAAAUGGACUCCAUAGAGAAACGCUGCCCGUGUAACAAUGCAGUUACGCAACCCGGUGCAUGACACAUGAAUUGCAGCGCACCUGAGAUCCUGAUGAAAUCCUGGGAGCCUGGAGCUGUCAAACAUGGUUUUAAAAAAUAAAGGGAAUACACCCAGCCCACACCCUGACUUUACAACCUUUAAUUAAUUAGAGGAAAGAAAGAG
rnacentral:lncRNA from 1 species